rnacentral:lncRNA from 1 species
UUUAUAGUGUGAUGAUGGGACUGAAUUUAAUUUCAGUGAACCAGGUUUUGAUUUUAACGAGUCAGAUGAUGAGUUCUUAGGCGGUUUGCCUCAAGAAUUUCUUGAAAGUGAAGACGUAAUUGGGGAAACUACGCAAACUUUCUUCGAAGACGAUGAUUCAUUAAUGGGUGAAGUUACUCAGGGUUUUAUAGAAGCUUCACAAGUUUUUCAGAAUUUACCACUUUAUAACCAAGUUGGUUCGGGAUUUGAGUCUAAACCAGACCUUUCCAGUAGUGGUUCAGUAUAUGUUGAAGAAUUACCGCCUCCUCCACAAAUUGAUGAUGUAAGUUUUAACUGGAAUUAUUCUUUUUGCUUGUUUUACGCUUAUUUAUUAUCUCAACUAAAUACAGCUUCCACAACUCCCAAUGGUUACUUUUAUCACUAUCUUAAAGUAAUUAUAUUAUGUUUCUUGUAGUA